rnacentral:rRNA from 1 species
UACGUAGGGUGCAAGCGUUGUCCGGAAUUAUUGGGCGUAAAGAGCGUGUAGGCGGCCAGGUAGGUCUGCUGUGAAAACUCGAGGCUCAACCUCGAGACGUCGGCGGAAACCAUCUGGCUAGAGUCCGGAAGAGGAGAGUGGAAUUCCUGGUGUAGCGGUGAAAUGCGCAGAUAUCAGGAAGAACACCCGUGGCGAAGGCGGGUCUCUGGGCCGAUACUGACGCUGAGGAGCGAAAGCGUGGGGAGCGAACAGG